UACGUAGGGUGCGAGCGUUAAUCGGAAUUACUGGGCGUAAAGCGUGCGCAGGCGGUUUUGUAAGCCGGAUGUGAAAUCCCCGGGCUUAACCUGGGAAUGGCAUUCGGGACUGCAAGGCUGGAGUGCGGCAGAGGAGACUGGAAUUCCUGGUGUAGCAGUGAAAUGCGUAGAUAUCAGGAGGAACACCGAUUGCGAAGGCAGCUCGCUGGGACGUAACUGACGCUGAGACGCGAAAGCGUGGGGAGCAAACAGG
rnacentral:rRNA from 1 species